CCACCUGUAUCCAUCCCGAACACAGCAGUUAAGCUUCUUAGCGCCGAAUGUAGUUGGGGGUUGCCCCCUGUGAGACUAGGACGUUGCCGUGC
rnacentral:rRNA from 1 species